rnacentral:lncRNA from 1 species
AAUGAGAUUGCUUGUUCUCUCUGUUUCUGUUCUUCUGGGGACUUCAUAAAGGGGAUAUACCUAUCCUGUUUCAAAUGUUGUUUUCAAAGGAUUAUGUAACUAGUCUCCCUGAAUCCGGAGAAAUUCCUUUUACAAGAAAAUUCAUGAGGCUCUCCUGGCUGGCUGAGCAACUUGAAGUCUAAAGUCUUGGCUUACAUCCAUUCUCUGCACAUCACAGGGCCUGAAGACAUCUCUGGACCCUGCUCAGCAACAGCUCUAACCAACCCAACAGCAACAAGGAGGUGAAGGAGGGAACAUCUCCCCAGCACCAACUGGAAAGGUGUCAACCAAUAGAGAACUCUUAGUUGGAUGUGUCUAAAGGCAUAGCCCAGAUUUGAUAUUGGGAAUUCUGAACAAUGAUAGAAGGGAUCAUCUGGCCUGCACUGAGAAUUCAGUCUGGGAUGUACAGGGAGACACUCAAGAUACACUCAUACAUUUCUGAUUUUCACUGCAUUAAUGGCUGUUCCAAUAGUAGUGAAAGAACUGAAAUCUCCUUGGGUUAGACACUGAUGAAGCCAUUAAAGAGUUUUCUCACCAAAGUUUCUAAGUAAUCCAUGUUCUCAUGGUAACAGCAAAAUCCCUGUUAAAAUAUAGUUGCAAAUAUCCUGUUUCUUUUUAUGGCUGAGCUGAUAUAUCAGACCUAGGAUAUGAGAUAUAUGAUAUUUCCAUUACAACCAUAAUGUCUCCUUGGGACCUAUAUGGUGUCACUGUGUAUUACUAGAUUUCAAGAGUGAUCUGGAAUACGAGGAUUUUAUUUACUAAAAUAUCACACACAUCAGUUCCUCAUUCAUCUAUUGUAAUACAAGGAUAAUGAAAAAUAAUAGAAAAUAAAAGCAAAUUCCAAUAUUUUAAAGCCCAAAAGUAACUUUCAAAUUUAGAUGGUGUGGAAGGGAGAAAGCAGAGAAAAAUCAUAGGAAAUAUUACAAAAGUUCUUUUAUCUGAC